rnacentral:rRNA from 1 species
AUUGAACGCUGGCGGCAGGCCUAACACAUGCAAGUCGAACGAGUGGCGGACGGGUGAGUAAUGUCUGGGAAACUGCCCGAUGGAGGGGGAUAACUGCUGGAAACGGUAGCUAAUACCGCAUACUAUUCGAGGUGCCCAUAUGGGAUUAGCUAGUGGGUGGGGUAACGGCUCACCUAGGCGACGAUCCCUAGCUGGUCUGAGAGGAUGACCAGCCACACUGGAACUGAGACACGGCCCAGACUCCUACGGGAGGCAGCAGUGGGGAAUAUUGCACAAUGGGCGCAAGCCUGAUGCAGCCAUGCCGCGUGUAUGAAGAAGGCCUUCGGGUUGUAAAGGACUUUCAGCAGGGAGGCGUUACCCGCAGAAGAAGCACCGGCUAACUCCGUGCCAGCCGCCGCGGUAAUAC